rnacentral:rRNA from 1 species
UGGUGGAGUGAUUUGUCUGGUUGAUUCCGAUAACGAGCGAGAUCUCUACCUUCCAAUAGGCUCCGGUCUCGCACUUAUGUAGGGCGGAGUAGCGCUUGCGUUACAACCAAUCCGCCUGAGAGCGCCGGAUUUCUUGCUUCUCUGAGGAGCUGCGAACGCUGCAAAGUUUGCGCAUGCUAGAGCCAACAGCA